rnacentral:rRNA from 1 species
AGCAGCCGCGGUAAUUCCAGCUCCAAUAGCGUAUAUUAAAGUUGUUGCAGUUAAAAAGCUCGUAGUUGAACUUCGGGGUUUACCCAUUGGUCAGGCUUAAUUGUCUGUACUGGUGAGAUGAAUCUCUACCUUCUGAGGAACUUUCAUGCCAUUUAUUUGGUGUGAUGGGAAAUCAGGACUGUUACUUUGAAAAAUUAGAGUGUUUAAAGCAGGCUAACGUCUGAAUACAUUAGCAUGGAAUAAUGAAAUAGGACGGACUGAUUCUAUUUCGUUGGUUUCUAGGAUCACCGUAAUGAUUAAUAGGGAUAGUUGGGGGCAUUAGUAUUCAAUUGUCAGAGGUGAAAUUCUUGGAUUUAUUGAAGACUAACUACUGCGAAAGCAUUUGCCAAGGAUGUUUUCAUUAAUCAAGAACGAAAGUUAGGGGAUCGAAGACGAUCAGAUACCGUCGUAGUCUUAA